rnacentral:sRNA from 1 species
AGGAAAACCCGAAAGUGACACUGUGGAUUUUCACUGUUCUAAGCUCCCCGUGACCUGUGGUGAGGCAAAAGGGAUUUUAUAUAAGAAGAAAAUGAAACAUGGAUCCUCAGUGAAGUGCAUUCAGAAUGAGGAUGGAACUUGGUUAACACCAAAUGAAUUUGAAAUUGAAGGAAAAGGAAGAAACGCAAAGAACUGGAAACGGAAUAUACGUUGUGGAGGAACGACCCUAGGAGAGCUGCUGAAGGUAUUAUAAUGACAAGGGACAGAUAGGUGACAGGUUUAAAUCCUUGAAGGAGAAGUGGAGCUUUAAGAGCAGAAAUGUGAAGAGCUCCCGUUAGGAUUCAACAGCAUGAUUUAUAAGGAGUUAAAUGUUUAUAGAAAAAAAAUUGUGGGUGACAAAGUUAGGAGCACAGAUUGU